AGAGUUGUUGCUGGUCCCCAAAUGGGGACACGUGCACGCUCUGUUAACACAUCCACUCACACCCUGUGCACCCUCUGUAGUUCUAUGGUUGGGGGGGGACCUGUCCUCUCCUGCUGUGGUUCUGCAUCUUUACAUACACACUGUAACAAAGUCUCAUGGAAUGCAUGCCGCGUUUAACGCAAUAAAAUACAACUUUCAGCAACGGAUCUCUUGGCUCUCGCAUCGAUGAAGAACGCAGCGAAAUGCGAUAAGUAAUGUGAAUUGCAGAAUUCAGUGAAUCAUCGAAUCUUUGAACGCACCUUGCGCCCUUUGGCAUUCCGAAGGGCAUGCCUGUUUGAGUAUCAUGAACACCUCAACUCUUCAUGGUUUUCCAUGAUGAGCUUGGACUUUGGGGGUCUUGCUGGCCUGCGGUCAGCUCCUCUCAAAUGAAUCAGCUUACCAGUGUUUGGUGGGCAUCACAGGUGUGAUAACUAUCUGCGCUUGUGGUUUUCCACCAAGUAACCUUCAGCAGUGGAGGUUCACUGGAGCUCACAGACGUCUCUCCUCAGUGAGGACAGCCCUUUGAAUGUUUGAUCUCAAAUCAGGUAGGACUACCCGCUGAACUUAAGCAUAUCAAUAAGC
rnacentral:rRNA from 1 species